UACGUAGGCAGCAAGCGUUGUUCGGAGUUACUGGGUUUAAAGGGUGCGCAGGCGGAUAUGUAAGUCAGUGGUGAAAUCUCUAGGCUUAACCUGGAAAUUGCCGUUGAUACUAUAUAUCUUGAAUGCUGUGGAGGUAAGCGGAAUAUGUCAUGUAGCGGUGAAAUGCUUAGAUAUGACAUAGAACACCUAUUGCGAAGGCAGCUUACUACGCAGAUAUUGACGCUCAUGCACGAAAGCGUGGGGAUCAAACAGG
rnacentral:rRNA from 1 species